UUAAAUUGAAGAGUUUGAUCAUGGCUCAGAUUGAACGCUGGCGGCAGGCCUAACACAUGCAAGUCGAACGGUAACAGGAAGCAGCUUGCUGCUUCGCUGACGAGUGGCGGACGGGUGAGUAAUGUCUGGGAAACUGCCUGAUGGAGGGGGAUAACUACUGGAAACGGUAGCUAAUACCGCAUAACGUCGCAAGAC
rnacentral:rRNA from 1 species